rnacentral:tRNA from 2 species
GGAGAGGUGGCCGAGUGGUUGAAGGCGGCGGCCUCGAAAGCCGUUGUGCGGUUUACCGUACCGUGGGUUCGAAUCCCACCCUCUCCGCCA